CCAUGUACAAGGCCCAAGCCUAGUUAACCUAACUUGAACAUUGAGUCCAAUCUGUUCUAAAACCCUCCGUCUCGUCUCUUCCUUAUCUUAUCCCUACACUUUCCAUCCAAAACAAAUCAAAAAUCCCUCCAAUCUCAAACCAAAAAAAUUGAAAUCCCUCCACUGAUUAAUUACAAAAUAUACAUUACCCAUACGGGGUAUAUCAAACAAAAAUCCUUCCAUUCACCUUUAUACCCUCUCUCUUACUCUCAAAACCUACCGGAGAAAAACCGCCGCCGCCGGAAAGUUAAACAUCCUUCAUCUCCUUUAAUCUCUAACCCGAAAACCAAACCACUGCCGCAAUCUUUCCAUCUGUUUUACCCCCUUCAUCCCUCGAUCCAGUCCCCCCCGUUAUCCAUCAUUCAGGUACUCCAGAAAAUAGAAGACAAAUUACAAAUCGUAUCCGGCCACCGGGAUCUUAGCUUUCAUUCGUCUCCGGCCACCGGGGAAAAAGAACUACCAGCCCCUAUGCUUCAAGUUGCCGCCAUCGGCCACCGGAAAAAACCCGACCUUUUUUUCUUGUUGGGUUACAAUAGCGCUAAAAAGGAUACAAUUUUUUCCCGACCAUGAUUUCUUUGUUUAAUACUGACGGUAGACGGGAAAAUGGUGGAAGGAACUCACCAAAUGCAGUGGAUGGGAAAGUUUUGCUGCAGGACAUUCAAAUCUAAGACUGAUUGGGCGUUAUGUCCCCACCAUGCCUCCUACCAUCGGAUUGUCAGGAAGCACAGUUGCCCGGAGGGGCUUUGUAACCAACUAGCCGGGCUAUAAAGCCUUGGAAGGCCUUUUUCAG